GCCCUCGUGGUGAAAUUGGUAGACACGUGGGGUUUAGGACCCCAUGCCGCAAGGUAUAGAGGUUCGAGUCCUCUCGAGGGCACCA
rnacentral:tRNA from 1 species